rnacentral:rRNA from 1 species
UACGUAGGCAGCAAGCGUUGUCCGGAAUCAUUGGGCGUAAAGAGCGUGUAGGCGGCCUGGUAAGUCCGCUGUGAAAGUCCAGGGCUCAACCCUGGAAUGCCGGUGGAAACUGUCAGGCUCGAGUCCGGAAGAGGCGAGUGGAAUUCCUGGUGUAGCGGUGAAAUGCGUAGAUAUCGUGAGGAACACCAGAGGCGAAGGCGGUUACCUGGACAGUUACUGACGCUCAGGCACGAAAGCAUGGGGAGCAAAAGGG